rnacentral:rRNA from 1 species
AGGACGAACGCUGGCGGCGUGCUUAACACAUGCAAGUCGAGCGAUGAGGCUUCUUCGGAAGUGGAUUAGCGGCGGACGGGUGAGUAACACGUGGGUAACCUGCCUCAUAGAGGGGAAUAGCCUUUCGAAAGGAAGAUUAAUACCGCAUAAGAUUGUAAUGUCGCAUGACGUAGCAAUUAAAGGAGUAAUCCGCUAUGAGAUGGACCCGCGUCGCAUUAGCUAGUUGGUGAGGUAACGGCUCACCAAGGCGACGAUGCGUAGCCGACCUGAGAGGGUGAUCGGCCACAUUGGGACUGAGACACGGCCCAGACUCCUACGGGAGGCAGCAGUGGGGAAUAUUGCACAAUGGGGGAAACCCUGAUGCCAGCAACGCCGCGUGAGUGAUGACGGUCUUCGGAUUGUAAAGCUCUGUCUUUAGGGACGAUAAUGACGGUACCUAAGGAGGAAGCCACGGCUAACUACGUGCCAGCCGCCGC